CUGUAGUACUCACUUAGUUUCUUUUCGGGUUUCGAGCUACAAACAAUUACUAAACUAUUAACACGAAUUUCGGAAAUAAAUUAAAUUAUAAAUUUAAAAAGUAUUAGUUACACUUUUUCUUUUGAAGUUCUAAGAGUGAUAAAUUAAACUAGGAAACAUUAAUGUACAUAUAUUUCAGAUAAUUGAAUCAUCUUGCCAUUCGGGAAGAGACACGUCGAAUACCACAAGUUUUCGUCCUAAUAAAAUUUGUUUAUACUUUGAAAAGGGUGACGAAUUCACUGAGUAGCUUCCAAGAUGACUGCCUUGCUACGGCUUCCUGGGCCUUAACGAGUAUUGCACGAGAUUACCUUUACCACCAUCACGACUCGAUUGUAUUUUUGGCUGUGACAAACUCAAGAACCCGGCUUCCACUGCUUCGUCAGUUGGUUAAACUGAUUUUAGGUCUGUGUCGCUUCAAGAAUCCUCCACCUACGAGGCAAAUCGGUUGCUGCCGGUGCUAAAGCAACUUUUGUUGGAUUUUGAUGUUGAAGUGCUUUCGGAUACCUGCUGGGCCAUCUUUUAUCUAUCGGAUCACACUAUGGAGGACAAGGCACAAGCCGUGAUCGAGGCCAAUCCAGUGGGUUACUUUGUGAACCGUAACGAUGGCAUCAAGAUUUAUUUUCAGACACAGACGAGUAUACAACGGGUUCAUCCUUAAGCUGCCCUAUCCGAUUUGGUUCGCAUCCAAAUAGUCUUAGUCUGGUAAGCCACUUGCUGCAGGAACCCACAUGCAUCAGAUUGAGGCUCUAAUGCAUGCUGGAAUAUUCCGUGAAACACGGUUCUUGAGGGUGGACACUUCAAAGGCGGCCACCUACGAAGUGUCUAUUGCUAAAGAUCCGGGAACUACUGACCAAAUUGUGUGGAUCGCACGGAUCUCUUCCCUGCUCCUAAAAAUUUUGAAAUUGUAUAACGAGGAAAUAAAUUGUUCUAAAGUGAAAUGAA